rnacentral:lncRNA from 1 species
UAGUCCUUGUGGAUGUGGUAGUGCUCAUGGAGGAUGGCCGGCGCGAGAGUGUGAGAGAUGCCCUGUUUAUGUGGUCAUGUUUGGUGUCUUUCUUCCUUGUUUUGCUUCGUUGAUCGUCUUGCAUCGAGUAGGUGAAGUUGGCCGCGAACUCUGAUAGUUUCCUCAAGUUUGGCAUAUGAUGAACUGAUUUGGUGGUGAAAUUGGUCAUGAAAUUCUGUUGAUUUCCUCAAAUUUGGCAUAUGAUGAACUCAUUUGGUGCUGAAAUUGGUCAUGAAAACAUGUUGAUCUCCUUAAAUUUGGCGUGCUGGACUAAUUUGGUGGUGAAAUUGGUCAAGAACUUUUCAAGUUUUGCCUGAUGAACUGCUUUGAUUGUCUUAAGCUAGUCUUGCCUCUAUAUCUUUCCUCGUUCUUCAUCUGUACUUAUUGCUUUAAACUUUCUGUAAAAAGCUGGGCAUUCUCUGAAAAAAUUGAUUGAUCUCCUCGAUUUUUGACGACAUGGAGCUGGUGAACUACUUUGAUUGUCUUCAGCUAUUUUCCCCUGUUUAUCUUUCCUCGUUCUUGAUCUGCAUUGCUUUAAGCUUUCUGUAAAAAGCUGGGCAUUCAUGCAACCUCUCUGAAAAUUUGACUGAUUUCCUCGAGUUUGACGUCACGGAGUUGGUGAACGGGCAGUUACGGGUUGAUGAUUUUUGCUUGCUAUUCCGUGAUUACUUUGUGGUUAUCCUUGAGUUUAACUUCGUGCAAGAACAGCAUCUGUUCCAGUUUGUGCUUACGGGUUCUUGCGUGAACAGACACAUGAGAUAGGCGUUUCUUUGUUUUGGUGGUUCCUGAAUGUUUUGUAUUUAUCCUACAGUAUGUGUUUACUUCUUCAUAUUAUCAACUCUACUUUUGGUGGAGAAGUUGAUCCUUAACUCUGUCGAUUUUCCAAAAAGAAUAAAAGCGUAUGAUGAACUACUUUGCUGGUGAAAAUUCGUGAUUAAACUUUGUUGAUUUCCUCUAGUUUGAGGUAAUGAACUGAUUUGGUAGUGAAACUGGUCCUGAGCUUAUUUUUUAGAAAUGGUCAAGAACUUGUUGAUUUCCUGAAGUGUGACGUGAUUAUUUGAUUUGUGGUGAAUGUGUUGCUUGUUCCGUGGUGUUGAUCUUCUGUGUUACUUUGUCAGAACAGUAACAGUAACUGUUUGUGUUUGUGGUUGUGGCGUUGUUAUGUGGACAGCUAUAUAAGACAUGACAUAUUCCGUGGUGUUAAAAACAGAGUAUGCACGAAGAAAAAGCAAGAGGCAAUACACACAAGAAAUUGGCACUUUUACUCUUCUAUCCUUAGUUCAGUCCCAGCAAAUGGUUUUAUCUUUGGCUUUUGGCGCUGCAACUUUUUAGUUUCCUCAAGUUUGGCAUAUGAUGAACUGAUUUGGUGGUGAAAUUGGCCAUGAAGCCGUGUUGAUCUCCUUAAGUUUGGCGUGCUGGACUAAAUUAGUGGUGAAAUUGAUCAUGAACGGUGUUGAUUGUAUCAAGUUUGAUCUCGCCUGUCUAUCUUUUCUCGUUCUUGAUCUGUAUUGCUUUAAGCUUUCUGAAAAAGCUGGGCAUUCAUGCCUACUCUCUGAAACUUUGACUGAUCUCCUCGAGUUUGACGUCAUGGAGUUGGUGAACGGGCAGUUACGGGUUAAUGAUUU